rnacentral:lncRNA from 1 species
AAAUUACAAAAAAUCCAACAAUGAUUUUCCAUUCUGCUGCUUUAUAUUCUUAAAGUAAACGCUAGACAACUAGCCCAAAGUAUCAUACAUACAAGGAAACGAAAUGAAAAAGAACAACUGAACAAGUGAGGGGGACAUAAUCUGAGCCAAAAUAGAAAAAUCAAAAAGAAAAGAAGAAGAAGAAAUAAUCACCGAAGAAGCACUAUCGAUUGAACUCAUCAACCGAGCAAGUAAAAGAAAUAUUUUGUGAAUUUAGCAACAACAAAAAAAGAGAAGUAUUCUGGGUAAUGUGUAUUGACG